UUUUAUGGAGAGUUUGAUCCUGGCUCAGGAUGAACGCUGGCGGCGUGCCUAAUACAUGCAAGUCGAGCGAACAGACGAGGAGCUUGCUCCUUUGACGUUAGCGGCGGACGGG
rnacentral:rRNA from 8 species